rnacentral:lncRNA from 1 species
AGAACGUCCACACAAGCGCCUAGCUUCAACGUGUCGAUUGGGCAAGUCUCUGGCUUAGGUGGAGUUGGUGUUGGCGGUGUUACGACCGGUGGGCUUGGUGUUGGUGGCGUAACAACAGGUGGCGGUGGGCACGGUGAUGGCGGUGGCGGUGGGCACGGUGAUGGCGGCGUUACGACGGGUGGAGGCGUAUGAGUGGGUGGUUUAGGGGUGGACGGAGGUGGUUUAACAGUGGGCGGUUUCGUGGGUGGUUUCGGGGUAGACGGAGGAGGUUUAACGGUGGGCGGUUUCGUGGGUGGUUUCGGGGUGGACGGAGGUGGUUUAACGGUGGGCGGUUUCGUGGGUGGUUUCGGGGUGGGAUGAGGUUUGGUAGGGGGUUUCGGAUGUGGGUGUGGUUUGACAGUGGGCGGUUUGGUAGGGGGUUUAGGGUGUGGGUGUGGUUUGACGGUGGGUGGUUUGGGAGGUUUUACUGCCGGUGGUUUAGGCGGUUUGCUAGGAUGUUUAGGCGGUUUGUGGGGGUGAGGUGAUGGUUUAGGAGGGCUACAGUCGCAAGCGAAGGAGACGGCAAGAAAGCCAAGGAAGAGGAAGAUAAGAAAAGAGAGGUUUUGUGUACGAGACCCCAUUUUUCUAGAGUGAGGGUGUGGUUUACCCAAAGGACUGAGUAAGAAAGAUAUAUGAGUGUAUCAUUUUAUAGAAAGAUAUUAAAAUAUAUUUGCUAUAUAUAAUUUUCAAAUAUGCAUUUUGUGACUAGAUUAUUGAAACUGAAUUUCAGUUUUUGUUUUUGUUUUGAAAUCUAGAUUUUGUAGCAUGUGUUAAGUCACUUAGUUACAACUUACAAGUUGUCAUUUCCUGAGUUGUAAAAAAAUAGGACAACAUUCGUUAUAUAUAUACUUCCAUAGAAACUCUAUUGUGGUUGUGGAUCAACCUAUGUGAAGAGGAUACAAAAAAAUAAGCUUUAAAGAUUUUAGUAAGUUCAAUUUUUUUUUGUAUUUUUCUUAUUGAUCAAAACACUGCCAAAAGCAAAUAAACUGCAUUUGGUGCGAAGAACUCAAAUACUACUCCUCGCAAGGUUUCUGCCAAAUCAUUUGCUCUAUCCUUCUCCCUUUGAGUUUUUUUUAAUCUAGGGAGAUAUAUAUACCUUGUUAUUCAUAGUCUACUUAGAACAAGGAAGCAGAUAUAUAUUAGAUUUCUAAUAUACAACCUCUGAGUAACUCGGAUUCGGCCACCUCCUCGAAUCAUAGGAUGACUCUAUCCACUCUUCAAUGUACGUAAUAUUAUUUGAUCAUCCAUGUUUUUGCACUCGGUAAUUUCUAGCUAUAUAUUAAAACUGGAAAUUGUUUUGAGUAAAUUCGAUUAUGAAUAGUUGGUAAACGUAUGGUUUUAUGCUUCUGCCACGGUUGUUUAAAUAAAGGAAUAAAAGAGUGCAAUUUUAACCAAAAAAAAAAAAGAGAGAGAGAGAGAGUGCAAUUUCAGUUCUACGAGACCUUGAUCUGAAUCCAAAAUAUAUUAUGAUAAAAAAAAAAUUCAUGCCACCAAAAAUAUUUUUCUUAAAGAAAAUAUGAUAAUUGGCCAAAAACCAUGAAAUUUGUGUUUUGUUUUAUCAACGUUGAGUUGACCUAGUGAUAAAGGAAUUGCGACUGUAACUUCCGCCACUUGGGUUCAAUUCACAGUGAAAGAAACUAUUUACAAUGCUUGGGUUUUCGGUUUUUUAGACCAAAAAGAAAAAUCCUUUGUUUUAAUUUCUUGGACAUGAUCAUAAUGGUUUAGCCAAUAUAAAACGUACAAACAUGAAAAUGUUUGACGAAACGACCACCGGAGAUAGAAUUGUCAUCAUGCAUUGAAAAACAUAAACUUUCGCAAAGGUAGGCACCAUUAUCGUACGUCUUAUAUGUUUUCUAUUUCUUUCUUUUGUUCUCGUUUCCAAAAGGCUAUUGUCACCAAGCUUUUCCAUCACAUAUUUUCCGUAAAAUGAUCGAUAUUUUCAUAUAUGGGUAAAACUUAGCUUUUCCAAAUAUGCGUUCUCUUUUUAUAAUCCUGUCUAAUAGUGUCUUGCACUCUGGUUUGUUAAAUCGGAGAUCCAGUUGGUCAAAUAUCUAAAAUCAAGGCGUAAAUCAGGGAAAUGUCCCGAUAUUGCCAAGCUCUAAUACUCUAGCAUAAUAGCAUUUUAAAGAAUGCCCAGUCUAUCAGCGUUUAACAGUCACUAGAUUAAAACAUUUGUUAUGUUAUUGCAUAGAUUUUCUUUUCUAAAAAAACUUUGGGCAGACAUAUUUUGUAAUUACUAGUGAAAACAAUGGGAGUAACCAGAGGAUUUUGUAGUGUUAUGGCCAGUGGGCAGACAAUUUAUGAAGGGAUUUUGUCAGCAUUACUUGACUUAAGACACACCUCCCAUCUUCUAUAGUGACAAGAUAUAAUUAAAGACAUCCUUCUCACUCUUCUUUUUUUCUAGUUCCUUCCGUUUUAGGUCCACUUUUCGAGAAGCAUAUUAGGCAAGUUCAGAACUUCUCUUGGGUUUUAGUUUAUGUUUUUACCUAUUCAAAAAGGAGGAAAAUAAUCAGUUUUGGUUUAGCAUACCAAACCUACGAUGUAAAGUAUUCAAAUGUUCAGUAUUCAUAUAAAGUAUAUAAGUCGAUAUAUCUUGAGCCAAGGUCCGAGUUAUUGGGAUUUCGUAGGUAGAUGACAGGUUAAAAAGUAUUCGUUUAUAUUGAUGAAAUCACUCCCCCACACCUCCAUAACGUGUUUCGGCCGUUCAGUCAUUUACAUUUUCAUAUAACCAAUCUAGGCUUUGGAUCAUAUAUUAUCCAUCCAUAUGAUUUGUUCAAAGCUUUUUCUUUAGUUUGUUUUUGUCUCCCGCGUUUGAAAGAUACGAGCUUUGUGAGCCUUUUAUCAGAUCUUUAAGUGAUUGAAUAGCGUCCGUGAUUGAUGAUUCUCUUUAGAAUUUUUCCAUUAAAUAAUAUUAAUUUUAAAAUAUAUAUUGUACUACUAUUAUACUAGUGAUGAUUCAGAAUAUGAUUUCAUAGUGUAAAUAGGUCAACAUAUACUAAUUAAAGCUAAAUCUACUAUAUGAUUGGUAAAAUUGAAACGAUCAUUUGGUUAACACACACGUUCACUGCGUUUGAAAUAACAAAACUGUAAAUUUACUUUCUUCAGAACACGAUUUAUAGUUAUUUUUCUCCCAGAUUCUUUCACAUGGUAUAGAAAGCUUAUUUAUUAGUAUUGUUGGGGAUUUUUGUUAUUCAAAUUUCUAUUUGUCAUGAAUAAAUUUAUUAUUGAACAGUUUUCACCAUACUAUUCGCAGGUGUACUAAGAAAAGGUAGAGUGAAAGUUGUACAAAAUCCCAUUGUGUCCGAGGAGUAAGAGCACUUCCAAUGGAAGUUCUACCCAUUAAAAUUCUAAAUAUGAAUAUGUAUAUAUGUAUAUAUUGUAUAUAUGUAUGUAGUUGUGGGGUCUACUAAAUAGUAUAAAAUUUCUAUUCAAAAGGUAUAAUUUUGGAGAUUCUCUAAAAGUUUUCUCUACCACUUUUUCUCUGAACAAACUUUUUUUUCUCUGAACAACCUUUCUUUGCCAUAUUCACUUUCGCAUCUCUAUUGACAAUAUCGCAAAAACAUUGUGGUUUAUUUUCUAAUUCAGUUUAUCAAGAACUGUUUAAAAUUAUUUUAGUUAUAAACCUACUUUGUAUGAUAAAUUAUGAAAUUAAAAACUUUUAGAUUUAUUGAAUAAAACAAAAUAAAGUUUAGACGCCACUACAAGGUGGCGGGUAGGAUUUGGCGGGUAGCAAAAACAUUGUAAACCCGUGAAGUCUGUCACUUUUAGGAUUUAUUUUUCUUUAAAAACCAAAAAUGGGAAAUGGAUAAUGUGACGUGCUGAAUGCAUCACAUGCAUGCAUGUGACUCCACCAUAAUUUAAGAAAAAACAAACUUAAAAAAAUGUGGUCUGACUCUCUGAGUACUCAUGUCCUAGUCGUGAGGACACGUCAGUCCAUCACCAGCCGGGGGAAAAAAUGUACACGAGAAAAGAUGUCGUUGUGAUAAUUUGUUUUGCAGAAGCUUUUUUUUUUGCAAUUAAAAAGUGGAGAAGAAGAAAUCGAACCCGGUUUUGCGGAAGCUUGAUCAUUUCUUUACUGAUAGAGUGAUAAUAGUUAGAGAAAAUUGGCCCAUGUACCCUUAAAUGAUCCCUUAAUUUGAGCUUUGCGCCUGAAAUGACAGUAUUAGUUUUAUUCUGAAAUUAACCUUACUUCCUCGUUGACGGCUUUAGAUGAAGUUGUGUCAGUAUACCCUGUGCAUGUCGAAAAUAUGUAUCAGAUGGAAAAUUCUUUUCUAGUUCUCUUUCUUCUCGUAAUCUCUUUCUUUUCAAAGGUCUUUUUUUUUUCUUUUCACUUCUCUAUAUUAAAUGUGUGUUUUGCAAUGUCUUUCUUCUCUCCUUCUCUAUUUUUUUUUGGUGUAAAUGUUAAGAUUUAUACCAACUUUUCUGUUUUUUGAAUUACAAGAUGUGGCAAGCCACUUAUUAAGCAACAAGAAGAGAAAGAAGGAAAAGAAGCAAGAAACUAAGGUUCAUUACAAAGAAAGGCGGAGUAAAGCUGCAGGAGCGAGACAUGAGAUGGAGAUCGAGUCGGGAUAGAGAGCAGCCGGUCCCUAAUCAUGCGAUCUACCCUUGAAGCCAGCACCGUUGCAGGAAUAGAAGUGGUUGUGAAGAUGCGUGCGUUCCUUUCCCUCCACAAGCAAUAAAUGACAACCUGCAAAAUUAGCUUGAGGACUGGUAUAGUCCUAGGUGUAGAAGUGAACUGGUGACAUCGCAUCGCGUUGGCACACGCUAGUGUUGAGACCGGAGGAGCCGAGAGAUAUCUUCCUACACAGAAACGCGACCAAACAGAAGAAGCAUAGGUGCAUUGAAAGAAUAGGUGAUCAUGUGAUUCUAGCCCAGUUGAGCAGAGCACACAGUGCGCCGGAACAUUCAUGCCCCAAGACGCUAGCCGAUCCCUUGUUGGUAGUCGUUGAAGCACAGACAGCCAGGUGAUAAACGAGCAACGCGGGAUUUCCUCCUUAAACCAGACCAAGCCUGCCCAUGAAACUGGCUCUGCAGUCUGCCUUAUGAGCUCCCAUGUUCUCUUGGUGGAGAAUUGUUUGUCAUAACUACUGUCCCCACUGCGCCACAGAUAGCAAUCUUUACCUCUCGAGGGAGAUGGUGGUGGGAUUGUGGAAAGAACAAUCUGUAGUGUCUCGGACUCAUCAGAUCUAGCUGAUGGGAUUUGCCAGGUUCCAUCCCUAGUUGCCUCGGAAACUGUAGAGUUUAGGGGAAUGCGGAGAUCUCUUGGACCCGUAGGACCCAUUGCCGAGAUCAAAGGCCCCAUAUCUGUCCACCAGUCAAACCAAAAAGACGCUGACCUGCCAUCGCCUAUAGAGCAUCGAAGGAAAUAUUCAACUGUCGACUUGAUGGAGAUCAUAUUUUUCACCGUUGAAGAAAACCGUGCUGCAUUUUCCAUAAUCCAGUAGCUUUUGCGGAUGAAAACGUUGUUGUACAACCAACGGCUCCACAACGACUCAGAGGAGGUGAAAUAAUUCCAGACUCUCUUCAACUGGAAUACCGACUGAUAAUCUUCAAGCUUUCGGAUCCCCAAGCCUCCCUCUUGCUUAGGUUUACAGAUACUCUCCCAUGAAACCCGGGCUCCCGAAGCCGAAGUGGUUUUGUUGUUCCAUAGAAAGGCUGAGCAUAGAGAAUCCACUUUUGCGUAGAACCGCUUAGGUAAAGUGAAUACCGAACUCCAAAAAUUGACCAUCCCGUAGAUAACGGAGGUCACCAUUUUUAUCUUUCCAGCAAAGGACAAACAUUUAGCCGUCCAUGAAUGAAGCUUAUUGGUGAUUCGCUCCAGAAAUGGCUGCAGGGAUUCGAAGUUCAAACGAGUCGGAUUCAGGGGUAAGCCUAGAUAACGGGUAGGAAAAGAGCCCUUCUUGAAUCCUGAGAGGUCACUAAUUACAGAAGCUUCGAUACUACUAUAACCCCCAAGAAAGAUUUCUGAUUUUGUGGGGUUAGUAUCAAGACCAGUCCAGCAUUUGAAAGACCUCAUUACUGCUUUAAUCCCAUUGAUUGAGUGAUUAGACCCGUCAGAGAAGACAAGCAAGUCGUCCGCAAACAGCAAGUGAGUCACUCUAGGAUGGGCACAUAAAGGAUGUAAACUCAUACCCUCUUCAUCAACCAAUUUCUCAAAUAAUUUUGACAGCACUUCCAUAAUCAUGAUAAAGAUAUAUGGGGAGAUAGAGUCACCUUGACGCAAGCCUUUUUUACCGGCGAAGAAUCCAGCCAGCUCGCCAUUUACGGAAACGGAGAAUCUUGGAGAGGUCAUACACUCUUUAAUCCAGGUAACGAAGAUCGGGGGAAAGGAUUGAGCUUGCAACAAUUUGAUAACGAAGUCCCAGCAGACAGUAUCAAACGCCUUCCGUAGGUCUACCUUUAGCGUGCAGCUUGGCUGGCAGUUUGCUGAGUUGUAUGACUGAAUCAGUUCGGUCGCUAAGAGGACAUUGUCCCCCAGAGAUGUGCCCUUCAGAAAAGCCGCUUGAUUUGGGCUCACACAAGACUGCAUAAGAGGUUUUAACCUGUUGGUGAUUAUUUUCGAAAUGACCUUGUAGACUAUGUUGCAGCAACUAAUCGGUCUGUAGUCUCCCAGUCUGCAUGCUUCAGGGGUCUUAGGUAUUAGAGCAAUGGCUGUGGUAUUCAGAUCCUUUAGGAGACGACCAUUCCUGAAGAAUUCUGCUACCGCAUUAACGACGUCCUGCCCUACGGUGUCCCAAGAAGCCCGGAGAAACUCAACACAAUAGCCAUCGGGGCCAGAACUCUUGUUCAGCGGCAUUGAGAAGACUGUGGCCCGGAUCUCCGCUGCUGUGACUACUCUACUCAAAUACCGUUGUUGUAAUUCUGAGCAUCUGAACCCUAACAGACCUUGUAGUUCAGUGACAGUUACCGGCGAAGUAGCCAUAUCUGUCUGCCCUAAGAUUCCUUCAAAAUAAGCCGCAGAAUGGGCUUUAAUACCAGCAGCUGUUCCAAUAAACUGAUCAUUUUCGCCUUUAAGGAAGUGAAUGUGAUUGCGAGUCAGACGUUGAGAGACUGUCUUAUGAAAGAACGGUGUGUUACGAUCUCCCACAUCUGCCCAUCGCACUCUUGAUCGUUGUCUAUAGAACUUUUGCUCUGCAGUUAGCAACAUGUUGAGCUUCGCUCGGUCCCUGUGCUCUUGCUCUGCUGUAUUCCUGUCUGGAGCAGAUAGUAGCGAACGUUGCAGUCCCUCUACGACACUCGUUUGCUCCUUUACCCGCUGAGAGAUACCACUAAAAUGAGUCUUGUUCAGGUAACGGAGAUCCUUUUUCAAACCUUUCAGAGAGCGGACUAGUUUGAAUUGAUCCGAUCCUACAAUCUGAUUAGGCUUCCAAGCUUCGGAGACUGUUGCAGCAUAGUCCGGAUGGUCAAUGACAUGAUGAAAGAACUUGAACGGCUUACAGGACUGUCGUCUUAGCGACGGAAUUCUGAAGGCACAAGGAGCAUGAUCAGACUGGCCUGGUUCUAAGUAUUCAGCAUAAGAAUCAGGAAAUACUGAUGCCCAGGCCUGGUUAAUGAAAGCGUGAUCAAUCUUCUUAGAAAUAGGGUUAUCAACUUGGUUAUUCCACCAGGUGAAUGGAGAACCCUUUGAUUGAGCUUCGAAUAACUCAGCAUCCUGAAGUGCCGUUGUCAUAUCUUCCAUACCCGUAGUAUCAAUAACAGAAUCAGGGUAUUGGGAGUGAUUACUAACCCUGAUGAUUUGGUUGAAGUCGCCUACAACCGACCAGGGAGAGUGAGAAACCGAUGUUGUUCUGUUGAUGAGGGUAAGUUCAUCCCAAAGAGAUUGCCUAGCUUCCACCUCAUUAAACCCAUACGCAAAAGUGACGGUGAGGUUGAUAUUUUCCGCCAUUAUGAAAAUUCCACAGGUAAUUGCCUCAGCAGAGGCACUAUACACAAAAACUGAUACCGUCGGGUCCCAAACGACCACUAUCCUACCGGCUGGAUGAUGUUCAAAAUUCCCAAAAUACCUCCACCCUGCCGGAAUUGCAUUCAAAAUCCGAGAUUGGUUAUUUUCUUGUACAUGUGUUUCCAAAAAAGCUCCCAGUAGAGGUCUGUGGAUAUUAAUCCACUCUCUGGUCAUUGUGUGGCGUAUAUCACUAUUCAGUCCUCUAACAUUCCACGCAAAAAAUAUCGACAUAAUGAUUAGUGGUUGCGUUUGGCCUUGCGGCGACUCUUUCUCCCGAGAACCAGCAGAAAGCCAUCAUCACUUGUAGCAUCAUGAUCAGUUUGUGAGUAACCUGACCUGUGCUCCUCCACUCGCCUCUCGUGAAUUACAUCACUACUAGACUCUUUAGUAGUAUUAUAAUUCAGUGAGACUUUAUCAUUUGUAGAUUGUCUGGUACAACCAUUUUCCGGAGGAUGCACUGCAUCCUCAACAGCCACUCCCUCCGCAGCAUCCUCAGCAGCCACUGCAACCUCAGCAGUCCCAGUGGGAUCAAUUGAUGUCUCCGCUGUUCCUAGACUGAUCUCUCCCUCCUCUCGAUCAAUGGCAGCAGGAUCUCUGUCUUUUUCCGGAGAGAUCUUCACAUUAUGGACAGGUUUACGGGAAUGCCUUCUAUUGUUGGGGCGGGAGCGUCCAGCGCGUUCCUGAAUUGGUUUCUUCUCCCUACUACGAGAUGUGCUUCUGUCCCGAUUAACCACUGUUCUUCCUCCAACCGCGGGUACCCGACAUUUAUCAUUCUCGUGCCCAAAUCUCCCACACUGACUACAUUUUACUGGUAACCAGGGGUAGGUAACAGAUAUUUCAACCUCACGACCAUUAGAAAACCCUGAGAUAAUCUUUGAGGGUAGUGGUUUGGUAAGGUCAACUCUGACGUACAUCUUCGCCACCUUAAAAUUUUCCUUGCGCUCUGUCUCCGGUGCAAGUGAAUCAGGCUUACCAAUAGCUGUAGCGAUCCUGCUCAAGCUCUGUUGGUUAAACAGUAGGUAGGGAACAUUCCGCAACUCCACCGGAACUACCGCAGACGUUAAUGGGGCUUCCUCUGGAGCAAAGUCAGGCGACCAUGGAGCCACGAACAUUGGAUAUCCAGCCACAUUCCAGCAUGUACGACUGAGAAGAGAUUCUCUUGCUUUAAUGUUUAUAACUCGCAGCAAGUAGCAUCCUUGGCCAAUGUUAUGAACAAAAAUCCUCGGUCCCGCCUUUGCCCAAAUAGCAUUUACCACACCAAUGAUUCGACCCAUUGAUGGGAAAUCACUGUGAAAUCUCGCAAAGAGGAAGUCUUUGAAUUCUUCUCUUGCUGAUUGAAUGUUGUCAUCGGGUAUGAGAACAAACGGCGCUCCUGAGACGUGCUCUGUAGGCGUACCAAGUUCUUCCAGUUUCGCUGAGGCCUUAAGAAGACUUGCAUAGUUUUGGUUACCAGAGGGCGAGACCGGCCUAACAGUCUCUGUCUCCUCAGAGGGUGUAUCCGCAGUCAAAUGGACUGGCGAUGAUCCGAAAGCCACCUCCUUUGCAGCAUUCAGAACAGUAUCAGUAUGAGCUGAUGUCUCAGCCACAAUGACUGGAGCAGCUACUGAUUGCAAAUCCCCAUUUCUUUCAUGGGUAGAUGUUCCCUCAACAGACAGAGAUGCCGAACCUUUAACAUUAAGAGCCAAAGCGGACUCGUCUUGAGUCAGAUCUGUAGCCGCGGUCACUGCCUCGUAGCUAGAAGAAAGCUUCUCCUCUACCACACCUGUGGCAAUUACAGCAUCAGCAAUGGGAUUGCUGGCGAGAGGAAUAGAUUUCUUCUUGCCCUUAGCGGCAGCGGCGAACCGGGCCAUUUUCGAAGAACCUUGUAGCGGAUGACGUUGUUUGUUUCGAAAUUUCAUGGGAGCCAGAGAUUUGAGAAGAAGAAAGGAGGCAGAGAGUUCUCGCCGGAGGAGCGUGGUGCUCUCCGACGGCGGAUUCGCGGUGGGAAAACCCUUAUCCUAAAAAUCGCCUUUAGCCCUCAUGAGAGAGAAAAAUCAGAAAAUUCAUAAUUGUUCCCACAUUUAUCCAGCUCUCCUUCUCUAUUUUGUUCGUAGAUUCUUUAUUUUUGUUUCGUUUUUUAAAUCUUUAGAUCUUUAUAAUUUAAAAAAAAAGAAAAAAGAAAUUCAUCUCAAAUUUGUUUUGCACUACUUUUUCAUAUUAUGUUCUUCAUCUAGACUUUUUUGGUUCCUUUUAUUUUAUUUUCUAUGUUUGAUUUUUCUCAUUAAUAUAUUUUAUCUCUAAUGAACUCUCUUUCCAGGGUUGGGAAGUUGCUGAAGAUCCAAGAUGAAUCCAGAGUGAUGGCUAGCAAUUUCGUGAUGUUUGUUGAUAUAUAUAACAUUUAUGUUAGCAACCAUUUUACUUGUUACCCAAUAUUAUUUAUGUUUAUUAGUGUAUCUUUUGUUUUCUAUCGCCAUUUGAGAUCAAGUUUUUUAGAUGUUAGUAUUUAAUUGUCGCUAACUGAUAAUAUGUGGUAACGUGUUAUAAGUUAUGUGUUGUUAGUAGAUAUAUAGUUGGUUAAAUAAUAUAUGGCUUGUUAGGCGUUAAAUUUUUCUUGGUACUUUAUUUAUUAGCUAAUACAUUAUUUGUUAGCUGAUACAUAUUUUCGUAGUAGAUACAAUUUUUUAUUAUGUAUGUUAUUGAUUCUUUUAACAUACUAGACAUAAUCAUGAUCAUCUAACAAAGCAUAUUAUAUGGUUUGUUAGCUGAUAUAUGUUUUUUUUUCUGAUUAAAUAUCAAAUUUAUUGAUCAAAGUGAAAAAGGAAUUUACAUAAAAUGAUAUAUUGUUCUAAUCUGUAAAGAAUAAAACAAUGAUAUGUUCUAAUAUGUGUAGACAGUAAACUAUCUCAUAAAUAGUCCGCUCAGCUUAUGGUUUUCCCUAUACUUCAAAGAUGAGAUGCGCUUCUUGACAAUAUUCCCAAUGGCCUUAGUAGUUGUAUCAACAGGUGCACACACCUCCGUGCCGUCUUGAGUUCCUCUCCUUCCACAACAUAUAAAUGACUGUUUGGAAAACUAAGCGGAGGAGUAUAGCAUCGAGUCUGCUCCUGUUCUGGCGUAACAGGGAGGUGACUAUAUCUUUCCAGUCCGGUGUUAUCGCUAGACCAAAUAAUUUCUUUGCUACGUUUAUCCAAACUGUGAAGGUAUAAGGGCAAGCGAAAAACAAAUGAUCUCUGCUUUCAUCCUUGUCUCCACAGUAGACACAUCAUUGCUCCAUUCUCCAUUCUUUCAUUCUAGUGCCUGUUGAUAAUCUGUCCUUGAAAACUAACCAUACCACGAAGGAUUGUCGGGGUAUGGCCUGAGGGAACCACACAAUACAAUGCCAAGGAAGCUUUGUCUUUUUAACUCUCAGGUAGUUCCAAGUCUUGGUAGCUGAGAAAUAUGGUUUCAAAUCAUCCUGGUCAUGUCUCCAUAGAGCUAUAUCUGGCCCUGCAGUAGCUACCGGCUGUGGAAUCUCUGCAAGCUGAUAUAUGAUUUUUUGAAUAGACAGUUUUUUGUUUUUUGUUUGUUAGAUGAUAAAUGGAUUGAUACAUAUUUUGUGAGUAAUACAUUGUCUAAUAAACGGUUCGUUAUUUAAUAAAUGAUUUGUUAUCUGGUACAUGUUUUUUUAGCAGUGCAUAGUUCAUUAACCAAAAAAUUGAUAUUUAAUAUUAUGUAUAUUAUUGAAUACAUAUUCUUCUUUCUCAUCAAUUUAUACGAUAUAUAUAGAAUUAGAAAAUAUUUCGAUCAAAAAAAAAAAAAAUAUUUCGCAAGUGUGUAAGAUAUUUUGUUAUUAAUACCAUUCAAAGUUCGUUGCUACUCUUGUUUGAUAAAUAGUUUGUUAUAGGAUACAUGAUUUAUUAUCUGUCACAUAUUUUGUUAGCUGAUGAAUAGUUGAUACAUGGUUUGUUUGAUGGUUCGCAAUUUAUUAAAUGAUACUUACAUACAUACCAACUAACACAUAUGUUAUCAAGAACGGGUUCUUCUUAAAUUUUUGAUACACCACCGCAUGAAUUAUAGUUGAAGAGAAAGACCACAACACAGAAUCGCUAUUAAUAUGAUUGGAAAUUGAAAACACAUUAUGAUUUGAAACAUAAAGGGAUAAGAACAAUGUUCACCGGAAGGGAUAAAAUCCCCGCAACCUGUCAUAUCGAUCGGAGUGUUUAAUGUUGAAUCCUCCAGUGAGUUUAAUGUCAUAUAGGAGUGUUUAAUGUUAAAUUUUUAAUACAAACAUAAGAACAUCAUUAGUGGUAUGAUACCCAUUUAGAGUAUCUAAUUUAUAUAAUAUUAAUAUUAAAACUAUUAAAUUUUAAACAAAAUAAAAGUCCAACCAAUGAGACAACAACAAAUAUUACCGGAGUCUAUAUCAAAUUGUGUGGAACGUUUCUUUAUAAAGGUACGUUAUCUUUCUAUUGUUUUGAUAUUUUUAUUUCAAAAAACCUAUUCAGAAACUAGCACGCAAGUUUCCUAAGAACAGUUUUUAAAAAAUGAUGUACUGAAUAUCUAUUUAUUAAAAUAAAAAUAAAAGGGAAUAGAGAACUAGAAAAGUUCUUAAUUGAGAAAUUUUGAGAACCUCAUAACAACCUUACUGUCCAAAUGUCAAAUAUUGGUUAGAUUUUUAAUAUCAAAAUUAAAUUUAACUAAGAAAUUAAGUUCUAUUUAAAAUUUAUAUUUUUUGCCGUAAAAAAUCCAUGUGGAUUCUUACCAAUGGUGUUGCUCUAAUAAGACUAUCCACAUCAAAAAUAUUUCAAUUAGAAUAUGUCACCAAAAUAAUAAUUUUUAAUUUUUUUUAAAGAGAUUCAUGCUGAAAGUCGUCAUUUGAGAAUUCUGGACAUGAGUCUAUCAAAACAUUUGUAAAAAGAAAUCAUUAAAAUAUUGUAUUUUGUUGAGAGAUUCAAAUAAUAAUGUCCUAACGAAACAUACUUAUGCAUGAGUAUGAUUUCUCAACUUUGUUUGCUCUUUGGUUAGCUAAAACUACAAAGAAAUAUUUGAUAAAAUAUCAGUAUUUGUGAUUGGAUAAGAACGGAUAUGUAAAUUAAUAUUAGUAUUUAUGAUUUGUUAGGAACGGAUUUUUGGAUUAAAUAUUACUAUUGAUUUCGACACGUCUACUAAUAAUUCCCAUCGUUUAGCACCUCAAGACGUAGAAGAAGACAGUAACAUACAGGGAAUAUUAUAGUGGCACAAAUAUAUCAGAACUCAACUAUAUUGUGAGACGAUUGAAGGUACAAAGAAAAGUUUAUUAUGUCUUACUUUUUCCACUUAUCUUCUACUACAUUUUGCCUGGAUUUGAAACUUUAUUAUGCUAUCUUUAGCUAAUUCAUGCAAUAAUAGAUUUCCUUGGGAUGAACUGGCACAAUUUUUUUUGAACACAAAGAUGAACUGGCACACAUAUUAAACAUUUGUCGGUUAUUUCGUAAGUACAUUCCAGAACAAAAAGAUACUAAUGUAUGUUGAUAUGUAUUACCAUUUACAAGAAUAACAUUGACAAAAGAAUAAAGAGUAGAUGUUCAUACAUUUUCAGUGUCACAUGAAAACACAGUUAAGUAAGUUUGGGUUGGCUCAAAAUAGUCAAAGCGAGUUAAGCGAUCAUUUAGGCCGAAUACUAUAGAUUAGAGCAUUUCCAAAGGCACUCUAUUUUUUCCUCUAUAAUUUACACUAAAAUAGAGUAACUCUAUUAUAGAGUUAAAUUUGCUCCAAUGGUUCACUCUAUAAUAGAGUUACUCUAUAAUAGAGUGAAAUAUAGAGUAAUCCUAUUUUUUUACUCCAAAUAUAGAGUGAAAAAACAAGAAUACUCUAUAUUUCACUCUAUUAUAGAGUAACUCUAUUAUAGAGUAAACCAUUGGAGCAAAUUCAACUCUAUAAUAGAGUUACUCUAUUUUAGAGUGAAAUAUAGAGGAAAUUAUAGAGUGUGAUUGGAGAUGGUUGACACAUUCUCUCUCUUUUUUUUUUUUUUGCUAAAAUUCUCUCUCUUUUUUCUAAUGGUUUUUCCUUUAAAGUAAGAGCAUCUCCAACCCCACUCUAUUUUUCACUCUAAAAUAGAGUUUAGAGUAAAUAAUGCUCCAAUGGUACUCUAUUUCUCACUCUAUAAUAGAGUGAAAAAUAGAUUUACUCCAAAUAUAGAGUAAUUUGUUUUUUUUUUGUUCAUCACUCUAUUUUCUACUCUAAAAUAGAGUACCAUUGGAGCAAACUCAAACUCUAUUAUAGAGUUACUCUAUUUUAGAGUAAAAAAUAGAGUGAACCAUUGGAGAUGGUCUUAUGCAAUCGGGAAUUUUUUUGCUUGUUACUGUUCAAAACCAAUAUAAGAGCUAUAAACCCAAUCUUAUAUGAAAAAAAUAUCAUGAAACUAAUAAAGAAAAUUGACCUUCCAAUAUAUAAUUACGGAUUUCAAUUUCAUGCAUGCAUGCAUGUCCCUGCACCAUUCGUUUCUUUGUUUCCUCUCACGACCCAAUAAUUUGAAAACCAAGUAAAUUAAAAGAAAUAUUGGUGGUCGUCUGAGUACUUGAGUAUUAUUCGCAAGGACGUGUUGUUGGUCCAUAACCAGCAGAAAAGACCAAGAAAACGAUAUUGGUUUUGAUGUUGAAUACACGUCGGUCCGACGACAGCAGAAAAGAGAAUAAAAUCCAGACGCCAUAUGAAUUUGUUUAUGUCGGUAACUCAAUAGCAGAAAAUAGGAUUAUAUAUAUUGAAUCAAAAAGCGAUCAUCGUUUUGAUAUUUUAAUUUACGCAUGUACCUGCACUAAAAAUAUUGAAAUAAAAAUAAUAAUUUUAAUUUUGAUUUUUUUGAGCAAAAUAUCACAAAUAAAAUACUUUCAUACGUAUCUUAACAGUAAAAUAGUGAUAUAUUUUAAUAUAUAUAUAUAUAUAUAUAUAUAUUUAUCUACUUUCUUAAAAAACAUUCAUUAGAAAUACUCUUAAAACAUAUUAAAAAAACAUUUUUAUUGAUUGCAGAUUUUUUUGUAAAACAGAGGUUGACUAACGAAAUGGUUGGUUUUCAAGUUUAUCAAUUGAAAUGAAAUCACAGUUAACUCUGGAUUUAGCUAACUUUUAAAUUAACAAAUCAUUUGAAGGAACUCCACAUGUCCUAUUUCUUAAAUAUACUUUAAGCACAAUUUCUAAAUUUCCUGGAACUUUAAGAGUUUCAGAAUACCGUCCUAUCUCCUGUCUGAAUACUAUAUAUAAGGUCAUUUCGAGAUUCCUAGUUUCAAGACUCAAACCUAUUCUACAGCACUUGAUUCUCCCGUGUCAAACUGCAAUCGUUAAGGAUAGCCUGCUUGUUGAAAACACAGUACUUACUAGUGAGUUGAUCCAUGGAUGCCAUAAAAACAAGGGAUAAAAAAAAAUUACCAUAAAGGUGGACAUAGCCAAAACUUUCGACACACUAUCAUGGGAAUUUCUUCCUUGAAGGUCUCCACAUCCCUCCUAAGUUCAUUUCAUGGCUCAAGGCCUGCAUAUGCACGACAAGCUUUAUGAUUGGCUAUAAUGGUACAGUCUCAGGUUAUUUUAAAUGCAAAAGAGGCUUAAGGCAAGGUGACCUACUGUCCUCUUACUUAUUUGUGAUCGCUAUGAACUGCCUAUCCUUUAUGCUAAACAAUGCAGCAGCUCAUGGGAACAUUUAGUACCAUUCCAAAUGUAGUAAGAUGAAACUAACACAUCUAUCAUUUGCCGACGACAUACUGAUUUUCAUAGAUGGGUCUUUGGAGUCGGUCCAAAAUGUGCUUCAUAUCCUCCAUGAAUUUGAGCAACGGUCUGGCUUGGCGGUCAGCUACCAAAAAACAAGUUUUUAUGGAUCAGGUCUGUCUCCUCAAGAAAUUGAAACGAUACAUGCAUCUACUGGAAUGUCUUGUGAGACUCUACAUGUCCGCUAUCUUGGAGUACCGCUCAAUUCAAAAAAAUUAAACCUUGCUAAUUGUGAGCUUCUCAUUCACCAGAUCAAGUCAAGACUCUUCUCUUGGUCAGUGAAUUCACUCUCCUUCUCAGGCAGGCUCCUCCUCAUUAAAACUGUGAUUGCGGGAAUCAUAACAUUUUGGUGUUCAGCCUUCAUCCUGCCAAAAGCGUGUGUUUAGCGUAUCAAAUCUAUGCGCAGUGUGUUCUUAUGGAAGGGAGUAUUGAUAGCCACAUCUCUGCAAGAAUGGCUUGGGAGACAGCAGAACUUACAAAAGAUCAGGGAGGCUUGGGGAUUAGGGACCUCCAAUCUUGGAAUAAAGCUUGCUGCUUAAAGCUGAUAUGGAUGUUGUUCUUUCGUGAUGGGUUUGUGUGGGUCGCUUGUUUCAAGGAGGUCAUUAUAAAAGGGUCCAUUCACAACUACUGGACAACUAAACCAAGCAGCUCCUACUCAUGGCUAGCCAACAAACUCCUCAAGCUAAAAGAUGAAAUCUUUCCACUCAUCAAAUUGCGGCUGGAGAAUGGUGUCUCUGCUAAAUUUUGGUUUGAUAACUGGACUCCCUUUGGAAGCCUUUCGACUUUCCUCAGUAACUCCUCGUCAAAAUUGGGUAUUCAUGAAAAAGCUUAUGUAGCCUCACAAUGUAAGAAUGGAAUUUGGCGGCUUCCACCUGCAAGAACAGAAGAACAAGUUCAAUUACAGACAUACUUCACUACCGUCACUCUCACUCAGGCUCAGGACUACUAUGAAUGGGAGCUGGAAGGUAAACCUACUCAGACUUAUAGCACCCGAGAUGUUUACACUUACUUGAGAGGAGAAAUCAAUUAUGUGAUUUGGUCUUCCUAUGAGAUCAAAAGACACAACUUCCUUGUUUGGUUGGUAAUCCAAAACCGAGGUCCAACUAAAGACAAAAUACUCGGAUGGAGCCUUCAGGUUUCGCCACUAUGUCUACUUUGCAACUCAACUAUGGAGUCUAUAAAUCAUCUCUACUACGACUGCCCAUUCAGCUUUGAUCUUUGGUCCUUGGCUACUUCACGGUGUAGGAUCACCCCCACUAGAGAUUGGAACGAUACAGUCUCUUAGAUGAUUGGACUAUCUAGAAGCAAAUCGAGGCGCCAUCAAACUCUCCUAACUCUCCUAGCUGGAUAUGGAAUGAAAGGAAUUCUCGUCUUCACUCCAAUGUAUAUCGAUCGGUCAAUACUAUCUUUGCAAUAUUUGAUCGUCAACUGAGAAACAAGAUUAUGAGCUUCAGAGCAUCUAAUUCGGUUCUCUCCUCAGCAAUGUUGCAAGCAUGGUUCUCAGUGGGUUAGACUUCUCUCCGUCGACGGAUUCAUCCUCUCCCACCUCUCAACCAUCGUGCUUUCCGUCACAAGAAAACUGAUUGUCUUUUCUAAUCUGGAUAUGUGGGCUUUUUUUCUGUUUACUUAAUGGGUCAUGAAUCAUUAAGAUUUCUUUAUUAUGAGUUUUAAGUCUGGGUUGAGCCCUGGUAACUAAAGUCAAAAGCUUGUAAACAAUUUUAUUUUAUUUUCAUUUAAUGAAAGCCUAAGUUACAGAAAAAGAAACACAUUCAUGUAUUUCAAUACAUAACAAAUGUACUGUAUUCCUUGACAAAAGAACAAAAGUAGAGUAAUUAUUUGCUAUUAUUACAUAUUAAGCAAAAAAUGUUUUGAGGAUUUGGAUUUGGGUUUGUCACAUGGAUACCCAGUUAACAGCCUGGGCCGAUUCAAAGAACUCAAAGUAAACCUGAGCCAAUUAUAUUAGACUUCACGGCCCAUUAUAUAAGCUUCUUCUGGUCUAGUGGAUGGUCUCAAUUCUCAAAAUAUUCGAGGAAAUGAGAAAAUGUAUAGCAUCCAGCCUUGGAAUGAGCACUAUUGCUGUAUAACAGACAUGUCAGGGAGAGUAGACCGCGUUUGUGGAGCCUACGAGUUUCUUAAAAGACUUGGUGAAGAAGGCAGGUGAAUGUAACUGAAUUUACACCUGACAAUUUCAUGUAAACUCCGUUACAAAAAAAAAAAAUUCAUGUAAACUUUUGUAAGAUAUAAUCAUAUAAACGUAAUAAUGUUACUUGCUUUGAAUUAAUAAAAAGUUAUUACAAACAACAAGCCAUUGGCCAAACUAUAACCAUAACCUUAUGAAUAUCAAAAAUAAAUUUUAUAAUGUAUUUAUUAGUGAGGUUGAACUUUAUAGUAGGGUUUUUAUUUUGGUUUGUAUAUGAUGAUCACAUUAGAUAUUACAACUACCAUAUGCAUGGAGAUUGAAAAUUGCAUGAACAACCUAAAAAAAAAACUUACUAGUCAUUAAACUCAACCACUAGUCGUCCACCACUAAAUAAACUCAUAAGAAAUAUAUUUAUACAUACAGUUGUAUAUUUUUUAUUAAACUACAAAAAGGUGAAAGAAUACUAGAAAGUUUGUUCCAGCCUAUCAUUUCAUGUGUGUUUAAAACCCUAUAUAAUGUGAAGAGACAUAAUUUAAUCAUAAUUAACAUUAAAAGUUAUAAAAUAUGAUUGAGAGUCUUGAGCUGUUUUGUUAAUUGUAAUUGGAAUUAAGCUCAAUAUGCAUAUUGAGGUUAAUGGGACUCGUAAUGUUUCUAGAUUCAUCCCCUCUUCCUAACCCAUUUCUCACUCGGUUUUAUCAUUUCUUCAAUGUUUGGCUUUUGUAUUAUACUGGCCAGACUCGAUAUCAACGUCAAAGACCCGUCUCAGGCAAAAUCGCAAUUACAGUUAUAACUGUAAUUAACAUCAGAGCUAAGGAAUUGAAAAGAAUAUAGAUAAACGAUAAUGAUCUUUAAUCUAGGCAUGUUUGUAGCCUAUACUACCUUCACCAAAAAUCUUCCUAGGCAAGUUUGAUUUCAACAUCAUCCCCAUAUUUAUUGUCAAAAGACUAUUCUGGUCUUUCAGAAAACUCUAUUAAAUAUAUUUCACUAAUCCAAAUUUUAGCAAUAAAAAACGAUUAAAGAAAAAAAAAGCCAAAUUAAUUUUGUGGAAGGAAAAAGGCCAAUCACAGUUUAUUUUCGACUACAACUCAUAUAUGAUAGAUAAUAUCAAACCAUUAUGCCAUAAAAAGAAGAAAAAUAUAAAGUUGUAACUUAUAUUUAUAAUUUAAAUUGAAAUUUUCAAAGGCUGGUUUCAAGAGGAUUCUUUUUAAAGGAAAAUUUAGAAUUCUCACAACCUUUAUUGAGCUAAUUUGGUAAAAUUGCAUUCACAUUAAGUUCGUGUUUGAGAAAAUGUCUACAAUCCAAUAAGAAUACAAAAGUUAGUGUAAGCUAAUUUGGUAAGCUAAUUAUGGAUUGAAAAUUUAGAAUUCUCACAACCUUUAUUGAGCUAAUUUAGUAAAAUUGCAUUCACAUUAAGUUCGAGUUUGAGAAAAUGUCUACAAUCCAAUAAGAAUACAAAAGUUAGUGUAAGCUAAUUUGGUAAGCUAAUUAUGGAUUGAAAAUUUAGAAUUCUCACAACCUUUAUUGAGCUAAUUUAGUAAAAUUGCAUUCACAUUAAGUUCGAGUUUGAGAAAAUGUCUACAAUCCAAUAAGAAUACAAAAGUUAGUGGCUAUUUGCCUCGUGCAUCCUCCAUUCAUAUGCACGUUUUAUAAAAGAAAUUAUGAAGUUACAACUGAUAUUCAUAUUUUCAAAUCUAUCGAACUAAUGGUAAAGCAGCCAAAAGCUACUUUCAUACUAAUUUCAUGUUUGAAUGUCUACACUCCAAUAAGAAUACAAAAUUGAACCUAGGCUAUUUGCCUCAUAUUUUCUGCAUUUUAUGCACGUUAUGUGUAUUAUUUCUAUGACUAAUAUUUGAGAAAUAUAUUUUUUCACAUGCAAUUGAUUUGAACUUCACGUGAGGAUAUUUCUAUUAAUCGCUAAGGUAUGUGAUAUAAAUAUUGGUGCGUAAGAACAUUUAUUUUAAUUUAGCUACGUCUAAUAGAAAUAUGGGCUCCAUAAUUUUUGUCCGAUAAUUUAUUUUGGUAGAAAAUAUACACAUUUAUUUGGGAAACACUAUUUUAUUUUUCUUAUUGCCAAUUUGGAAAUUUGAAUGCAAGCAAGUUCAGUCACUGAAUAUUCGCCUCUCUAGGACCAUGAUAACGCUACAACCUUACGCUUAAAACAAAGAUGAUAAAAAGCUUAAAUAUGAAAAUGAAAAAAAAAAAAACUUAAACAACAAAGGUGUACGAUUUCAUUAUUUGACAGAGAAAGUCAGACCUAACAUUUCUGCUUUUAAGCGAUAAUAUAUUGUUAAAACGAAUCCGAUCAUUUUCUCAUGGUAGCUUCGAAGAAGACGUAUUACUACUAGUCCCCUCCUUAGACGACGGAGCCGAACCUCCUCCUCCUCCACCAUCCGCCGGAGGAACUUGUUGGGAAGAUCCGGCGGAUGGAUCCGACCCGAAAGCUAUAGCGGAUGGAGAUACCGUGUACUGCUGAACCACGGCGCGGUAAUUGGCUAGAUCGGUGGUGAUUACUAUCGCUGGUGUAUUACGUGAGGCUCCUGAUCUUUUACGGCCUGUUUCUUGACUCGGACGUGAGUUCAUUUUGUUGUGUGUCUGUGAGAGUUUGUAAGAAAGAAAAGUGCAUUUGCCUUCGUUACUUAUUUGUUUAUUUAUAGGUUUUAUUUUGAUUCGACUUAGCCAGACGAAGACUAUUCUAAAUCAAUCGUGACUGUUAGUUGAGUUUUACCAACAAACUAUAAGAAUUAAGUUUGGUAAUUGGUAAUUGCCUACUUUCCCAACAAGUUUACGAAAUUGAUCCAUUUCACUCUAUGUAUUCUUCUAUUAAAGUAUUACGUAUAAUAAGUCCUUCACUUUACAUAAAACGUUACAAAGCUGACGACAUAUUUUCCUGAAAGUUCUUCUAACCAAAACUAGUGUGAAUCCUGAUCCUGACGUGUGAUACAAACUACAUCAUCGAUCGUUCUCUUUUUAUUAAUCAAAAACAGCCAAUGACCAAGCUUGGUGAUAAUCAAGCCCUAAUUAGAAAAUCACACACGAUAUUAAAGGAAAACUAAUAUUGGGAUCACAAGUGUGAAACAAUACAACAACAACAACAACAACAAAAGUAUAUACCUUCUUUCACUUAUCUCUUCACUUGUUGGCAUUUUCUUCCAUGCACUCUUAUUCAUCACACUUUUUAAAUAAAAAAUUAUACAAAAAAUAACGUACUAUAUAUACAAUCACAUUGGGAGGGCCAUGAGCAGCAUGGUCCGUUAUUUCAACAAAAGAAUUGUUUCACAAAAUUAUACCCCACAUGCCUUACUUGAAUAAUAAACUACUUACCACCAAUCCAUAUAAGGAAUCCACAGAGAAUCAUGGACAAAAAGGAUGGCUAACAUAAAUAACAGACAACAAUGAACACCAGACAAUGUACAAAAGCAACUCUCUCUAGUCUGAAACCCAUUCUGUUCUCCCAUGAUUGUGUCUCAGAAGCUGUGUAUGUACAGAAGCGAUGGGAGAGGGAUUUGGGGCUAUGCAAGAAGCCUUUGUUUUAUUGGGUCUGAGUUGCGUCUUCUCUGGUUUUGCGCAGAUGCUUGCGUGAGUUUUCCUGCUCCGAUGAUGGCUUUACCUGACCGUGAUCCUAAGGAUUUUCCUGCUCAAGAAUGAAUAUUCAAAGUUUAUACUUAAAAAGACAAUAGAUCAAAGAUCAAAUGUGUUGCUUCUUAGAUGAAUGUGACUUGUUCCAUGUCUAUUCAAAGACUAUUAUCUUAAUCAUUAUAAGAAGUUUCCUAGGCCUAGAGAAAGAGAUCUGACCACUGUUUGGUAGAGAUAACCGUUCCUUUGGAUUGCUGUGAGAUCUUGGACCAGCACCAUGUCUUCUUGAGUUAACUUCAACAGCAAGGUCGUCUUUAACAAGCUUUGACCUAGCCUUGGAUACCACUGGAAUGCUUCCAGGUGAAGAAGAAUCAUUAUCAGACAGAGAUGGCCUUGUUGCCUUGCCACUCGAAACACCGGAUACAAGAGUUGAAGUGUUUGGCAUCCUGCUUGCACUUUUCAUCUGUGUUCUAUGCACAUUCUCACACUGCUCCAUACUGUUUAAGUUUGCAUCCUCUCUGAGGGUACUACUGUCAAGAAACCGAUUCUCCCAUGGACGAACAGCCAUCCAUCUCUCCAGCCAGUUCCAUCCCCAGUUGUUUUUGUCAGGUUGAAAUCCACUGUGCGUAGACAACUGCCUAGUUCCUGCUUGCCACUACAAGACAGAUUUUUUUUUUUUUUUGAAUGAAUGUUAAAUUUAUUCGAUUCAAAAACGUUGUUACAAAGAAUGCAGCUUUACUUCUAUCAGAAAUGGCUAAUAAACUGAAUUUACAAUUGAGAAAUCUGAUUAAUUUGUGUGGUAAGAAAACCAGACUGACAUUGCUCCUUCGUAUCCUUUUCUUCCGGUAUGUUGAAUUGUGGAGAUCUUAUUACGAAUGAUUUGUCAUUCAUAUGCUGCAAUCUACUGGCAGGUUGGUGAUGCUCCCCAUGCUUCCUACGGUUUCUCUCCCUCCAAACCGAGUAAGAGAAAGAAAGAUCCUUAACUAGCAUAGAGGUUGUGAGUAACCUGGUGAGUCAAAGCAUAAGCCAUAGCCCUCUCACGCUUAUCUGCACCUUCCUGCCUCUUUAUCAGCUUUGCUUGGAUUUGUUCAACUGAUCCAAUGCUAUCACACCAACCUUCCUGAUAGAUGAAAAGACAUUGUCAACACAAGUCUAUAACUCUCUCAACAAAAAAUUAAAGUGAUUAUCACCACUAUUUCUCGGACUCUGGCUUCAUCUGCUACCUGCUGCUGAAGUGUCUGCUGACCCGUUUCACAUUCCAAGGAGAGACGAACACGUCUUGCACGUACACGAGCCUAACGCUUGCAUGCACCGAAGCGUUACAGCUGCUUGUUUUCUCACAAUGUGCCCUCUAAUAAGGGCUUGAAGUCUAACCAAACCCUUCAACGCUCUUAAAGCCCUUCUAGCCUAAAAAAAUACAUCAUCCAUAGAGUAGAAAGCAAAACAAUAACAGAUUAUAGGACUUAACAAGGCUAAUAUUGAUACCAGAAAGGCUCGAAAAGCUUAUUGGAUGCGCGUUGCAGCCAUAUAUAUGAUCCUUCCUUUGUUCUUCAUAAGCUGCACUAUAUGAUUGUAGUUAAGUUGAAUUAGAGACUCCAGCCUCUAUCACACUAUGCACAGUAUUUAAAUCUUCAAGUCCAUCUUGGAACUUUUCAGCAUCAAAAUCAACUGAAUGCUUUCUCCCAAACCUGGUCUUGGUAGGAAUCUUGUUUGUGAUUUGGAGAGAAUAAGAGUAAAGAAGGAUUUUAAUUUCCUUAUUUCUUUAGGUUCUUCAUACACUUACAUACGUAGAGUUGUUGGGAUUGAUGCAUGAUCUUAUGAAGUCUUGCCAACUCUUACUUUCAAUAUUCUCUUCAUUUCUUCAUGUCAAUAUUUAGUGGUGGGAACCAAUCCUCUCAUCUACUAACUAAUGAUCUUAUGACAUAAACCACUCGACCAACUAGACUUUUCACAAAACUUCUAACGUUUCCUUUCUCAUAAAAGAGGCUGCACGCAAAUGCUAUCUUCAAAGCCUGUGCAACAAAUGAUGCUAUAGAGAAAACAUAUCAUGUAUGUGGUGGAUCAGGAUUAUACCUAACUUUAGAACUGUAAUUGAGAAAAUGUCAGUAAAACACACAUGUGUGGCUAUGGAAUCAACUACUUUAUUUUACCGAAAAACAUAGUUCUUCAAAUACAGAGAAACAUAAAACAUAUAGCGAAUGAGAAACACACAUUAAUGAUAAACAAGAAACAACAAAUAAAACUUAAACUGUUAUAGUCCGAUCCAUCGACAUACAAACACAAAUAAAAUAUUUUGAAUUAGCUGAAAUGAUAUCAGCCCAACCUUCUUUCUCUGCAGGCCGUCUGGUUUGGUUGCUUGAAUUUAUUCUUCUAGAUUCUUCGCCUUAUAUUUUAAAAGGUAUGGAAAAAGAGAAACAUCAGAUACAUUAAUCUCAGUUAUUCAUUCAUGGUGACAGUUCUACUAUAAUAUAACUUUUUAAAAUUCAGAACAUCACCUCUUCAAUGAGUUGUGGUGUCUGCGUUUGUUUGGGACAAAAGCUUUCAUGAACCACUCUGGUUUGUAGGAAACCAGUAUGUAUCCCAUCGUCAAUCCAAAGAAAACACCUGGUACAAAUCCUAUUGCAGCUGCUAUCCAACUCAGCACCUCUUCUUCAUCUUCAUCUUCAUCUGGAUCUGGCGUUUCAGAUUGUUGACAUGUUGUCGCGUGGAUACAACCACAAACUUGAUCAAGUGAAGGACCAUACAGUCCCGGGUUGUCCUCGAAAGAAGAACAAGGCUGCGUCAGAAACUGAGUUCCCCCUGGCACUAGACCUAUAAGCUGGUUAUGAGAGAAGUUCAUGUAAGCAAGGAACGAGAGGCUCCCAAGCUCUUGUGGAAUCUCUCCUGAAAGAUUGUUUUGCGAAACAUCCAGUGACUCAAGCUCUGCCAGGUUUCCCAGUGAUGAUGGGAUGUGGCCAGUGAAAGCAUUGUUUGAAAAGUUGAGCACAUGAAGCUCUUUCAAUAGACCAAUGGACCUUGGAAUCUCUCCUUCAAAUUUGUUCCCAGAGAAGUCGACUGCUGUGAAGAUUUUUAAGAUACGUUCCAGAUUCCUUUCUACACCUUUAUUAACCAUAACCACUGAAUCAGAAUAAUAAUUUGUACCCAUGUACCUCUCUGCAUAUCUAUCUUCUUUCUUUUCAAUGGAAUACAUUGCCGUCCAAUUAACGAAGAAGUCCGAUGACAAAGUUCCAUUGAAGUGAUUGUGGUUUAUGUCGAUGAUCCGUAACUUAGAAAACGGAGUUUGAUGUAUUAUUGGACCAUGAAAUGCGUUGGAGCGAAGGACAAGAACCUGUAACUCCGGCAGAGACCUCAACCAGAAAGGAAACGUGUCACUGAUUUUGUUGAUCUCCACAUUCAGAACUUGAAGAAAAUGGAUACGGAUGAAUGAUCUUGGAAGCUUUCCCACCAGACGGUUAUGACCGACGUCAAGCUACACUAGACUUUGAGACAUAUUCUCUGGAAUAUCUCCACUAAGAUGAUUUUGUCUAACAUUUAGAACUUCAAGACUUCUGCUAAAAUUUCCCAGACAGCUAGGGAAUGAGCCACUGAAUUUGUUGUUAGACAAAUCGAGAGUGGUUAGAGAGCGCAACUCACAUAUGAAACUAGGGAUCUUGCCCGUGAAAUUGUUGUUGGCGCCAGACAAGUAACUCAGAGAUGUUUUCCGGACAUAAGAUAUCCCAUGUUUCGUUGGGCUUUCAAAACCAAUCAAUGUGUUGUUGGAAGUACUCACGUAUUCAAUAAUUGGAAGCUCCCAUAACCAUCCAGGCACUUGACCUGUGAUUUUGUUGUUAGAAAUGUCUAGUGUUUUCAUGUUGCGUUGGGUUCGUAAGAGCUCCGGAAACUCGAAGAUACCGCAUCCUGACAAGUUCAACUCACCUAAUAAUGGAGGAUCUGAAACCAAGCUACUGUUCUCAGUUGAAACAUGGUUUCCCGAAAGAUCCAGUGUAUGAAGUGACUUCAAAUAUGGUAAGAUUGCAUUCAAGACAAGUGUAGUGGUGGUGUUC